GACGAACCGUGCGAACGUUAUUCGGAAUCACUGGGCUUAAAGCGCGUGUAGGCGGGCCGGCACGUCCGUGGCUGAAAGCCCCGGCUCAACCGGGGAAUGGCAUUUGGGACUGCAAGGCUUGAGUGCGGCAGAGGAGACUGGAAUUCCUGGUGUAGCAGUGAAAUGCGUAGAUAUCAGGAGGAAUACCGAUGGCGAAGGCAGGUCUCUGGGCUGACACUGACGCUCAUGCACGAAAACGUGGGGAGCAAACAGG
rnacentral:rRNA from 1 species